AUGGAGACCCUGAGCAGUGGGUGCCAGACGGCAGGGGGGAACGGGGAACAUGCAGUCUGGAUGGGAAAAUCACCCCCGGCAGGGGAGCGACGCCAGGGCCCAGAGUCCGAGACAGCAGGGCCACAGAGAGGCAGGAAGGGCUCCGCCAGAGCGGAAGCAGUGGGAGUCGCUGGGGCUGAGCAGGUGCCCAGCUGGGCAGCAGCAGGGCCCCGUGGGCAGUCUUGGAGCCGAUACCCAGCAUAUCGAGGAUUCGUGGCCGUGCCUGCUGGGUGGGACUCCCCCUUAGCAGAGGAGCCCAGUACAAUGCCCCAGCAUGACACGCAGCCACUUGCUGCAGGCAGCUGGGGACGUAGAUGCCGUGAGUGGCCCAGCACUCGCCCCCUGAAGUCUGGCAAUGCCAGUGACAGGGCCGAUGCCUGCCAGCCGGAGCACCGAAAGGUGGAAGGUCAAGGUCAAGCUCCAGGAGAGAGCCAGACCUGGACAUGGUCAGAGAGAGGAAUUGGGUGGCGAAGUGCCCAACCAGGGCCUCACAACGCCACCCAGCAGAUGGUGGGCCCCUUCCCCGAGUCGGCCCACUCACUCCCAGGGCCCCCCAGCCAGCAUCAGCCUCUUCCAGACCCUCAGACCUUCCUCUUCUGCCUUCUACCAGCCCCAUCUGCCCGUCCUGGGCCUCUGGAGCCACAGCCCACAGCCACGGUCACCAUCUGGGGUGCAGGUGGCCACGGGCCGCCCCGCCUCCAGGAGUGGUCGCUGCGUCCUGCCUUGCCCAGGCCCGCGCUGCUGCCAAUACAAGAUCUUUCUAAAGCACAGCUCCAGGCACAAGCUGCCCACGUCACGGUACUGACAGCUCGGAAGCGCAACCCUGCAGCCACACCUCGCCUCCACACAAGUCGCCGCUCCGGCUGCUGGCCGCCCGGCCUCAAGCUCCUGGAGACAUCGGCAGCUUCGCACCCUCAGCGCAUGGUGAUGUCCACUGGGUGCACGGCUGGACGCAGAUGGUGGGCUUCCCUCGUUAUCACAACGAGGAGAGUCAGAGAGGCGAGGAACUUCCCGGUGCCACGCAGGCUGCGUCCUACCUCCGGCCACCCACAGAGCCUGGGAAGAGCCAGGACACAAGAGCAGUGGGACCCUGGGCCAGGCAGCGGUCUGCACGGGGCAGGAGGCAGCAGGCGGGGAAGGCAGCCAGUGGGAGGGGCUCAGGAGUUCAGCAGCUCGAAGAGCAGGAGCCGCUGCCAGCCUCGCCCAGGUGGGGGUGGGGGUCAAGGACUCGCCUCCCCCAGGAACCAUGGUGGGGCUAGAGGCGCUGGGCCAGAGUGA
rnacentral:lncRNA from 1 species